UACGUAGGGGGCAAGCGUUGUCCGGAAUUAUUGGGCGUAAAGAGCGUGUAGGCGGCCAUACAGGUCAGCUGUGAAAACUCGAGGCUCAACCUCGAGACGUCGGUUGAAACCGUAUGGCUAGAGUCCGGAAGAGGAGAGUGGAAUUCCCGGUGUAGCGGUGAAAUGCGCAGAUAUCGGGAAGAACACCCGUGGCGAAGGCGGCUCUCUGGGACGGUACUGACGCUGAGACGCGAAAGCGUGGGGAGCGAACAGG
rnacentral:rRNA from 1 species